rnacentral:lncRNA from 1 species
UGUUUUCUUUUUAUUUAUUUAUUAUUUGCCACUGUUUGAAAAUCAAAAUGACUUCAACUAGUGCCAAAGAUUCCUCUAAAUAUUUUUAUGUUGCACAUUGGUCAUUUCCAGGUGCACAUAAAAUAUUUCAGGGCUUUUGAAAAUAUACUCUUAUAUAUUAUGAAUAUAAUUCCAAGUCCAAAUACAGUAAUGAUUUAAAUUCAGUGCCCAAAAUAUUCCUUAGAAAUGUUCCAUACUUUUGGUUUGGAUCAAAACCAUUGCCAAAAAUAUCAAACAUCAAGGCGGAGCAUUUUGGGUUCAUUGAAUGCAAUUUUUUUAGCUGGACCUAAUUGAAUUUCAAAGUGCUAGGGUUUGAACACCCCCCCCCCCAUUUCAAGUUUCUUUGGAAUUUAAACAUGAUGCAUCACUCUAAUGCAAGCACUGACUAGGGUUGUGACAACUCACCCCCACUGAACAAGAAUCUCGUCCCGAGAUUCAAGAUGUGAGGUAAGAAGACAAAGGGGACACAAAGUCAACACAAUCUUCAUGAUCCAGGUUGCACUUCAUAAAGGCGUUGAUUCAAUCACCAUCUUUGUCUCGUCAUCUUGCUCUGAGAACUCCAGCCAACAUGACAACGAGAGGAAAAGGAAACUCUAGAAGGAUCGAUCUUCUCGAAGAUCGAACAAUUCAGGAUCAACUUACGGGAUGAGCCAUAGCAACAUCUCUCAAGCUGAGACACGAAGCACACAUCUAGAGGGAUGGAGUGGAACAGAUGACGAAGGUUCACUAGGUAGACAACAAUUCCACACCUAAGAGGGUGGUGAACGGUUGUCAACGUAGCGAGGAUUUGAGUUGCCAUGAUACCAUAACGAGACACCUUAGAGAAGGAUGACUCAUAGAAUUAUCCCUUAAGUGGCAAAAAGAAUUACUUUUGAUCCAGAGAUCAAUAAAAUUCUCUAUACCAGCCUAGGGCAAAUCUCGAGUAAUCGUUUGAAGGAGUUUGAAAGAAUGACAUACUCUGACUAGAAUGGAUGAUGUGGACUACCUUGUUGAAGACAACAUAAUGGAUGAUCUCUACUUAUCAUCGGAAAUGGAGGGAACCCGUGGUAGGAUGGCACAACGGCGGUACAAGAUGGGAAUAAAAUGCAAAUGCUGGGAAUGAUUGUAGUAACUAGGGAGAAACCCAACAGUAGAGAGUGAGUCCACUAUUUGAAAAGGUUAUAACAUGACCGAGGAAACUGGGAGCAAAUCCCAAUUAAUGCCAACGAUAAAACCUAGUGCUUGCGCGUGCUCUCAAGAACUUGAGCAUUUCCAUAUUCAUCAAGGUUUUGCCAAUAUCCGUGUAAAGGAUCCUGAUAACACAACAUACUACCAUGAUGAAUGGUGAUGGACGAUGCAGAUGCAAAGGAAGCUAACACCUUCUCAAAUUUCACCUUAACAAGGCCAAGGAAACAGAAUCUGGAUGGUCGACCGAGAGACAUUUAGCACUCCGCUUCUAAUGUUCUCCUUGAUGUGCUAGCGUAACCCAUUUAUUGAUAUGGUUUGGUAUCUAGGGCAUUAAGUAAAAGGUCGGACUUCGGGAAAGCAAGAAUCCAUAAGGAGCAACUUCUGGAGUAUAUCCUAUGAGAUCCUUAUGGGGAGGUGGCCAACUUCCUCAAUCAAGAUACUACAAUAAUAGGUCUUCCGGCUAGGUGUGUUGGCCACGACAUCCACUUUACCGGGUUACAGAGAGACCAAUAUUAUAGUUCUUGGGACACAUUCCAACCAUCAUAUCUGCCCGAGAUUCAGAUCUAGUUGGUGUCAGGAUAUUGCAGACUCAUCAAGUCUAGAGAGAAAAAUGAAAGUUUGCAACACAAAUCGAUGAGAUGACGUUGUGAGAUUCUCAGGAAAUGAACUACGAUAGCAAGCCCCAAAACAUGAGCUGGUUCUGCUACACCCAUGUGAACACGUUGUCCCAGACAAGCAUGAUCACAUGGUAGUCUUACAACAAAAUACUACCGAGUUCUGGUAGGGAACCAUCAUUAAUGAUAUCGAAGUCUCUGCGCGGAAGUCUAAAGUAAUAACCUUAGAACAGACUCCUUUAUCUUGAACAAAUCAAUCAGUGGCUUGGUGUGCUAGGAAUUAUGUAUGGAAUGGAGGUAGAGAGCCUGUCAAACCAUAGCAUACUUCACACAUGCAUGACUGACUUGGGAUGGUACCAGAGGAAGAAAAAACAAUCUUUCUCGAACUCACAGCGGCAACUUGCACCAAAUGCACGUGAAUCGGAGAAAGUCACUUCUUUCAUCCAACAUAUGCUUCAUGAAUGAGACAUGAAGAUAAUGCUUUUAGAAGUUUCCAACACUACUUAGAUGUUCAACAUGAAUCAUGGACAAGAUGGAAAUGUUGCCAAUGGGUUCAACAACAAUCCAUCCAUGCUUCCAUAUAGAUGGAAUUCCACAGUUAAGUGAACAUGGUGAUAGCAUUGGUCAGACCAAAAGAUAUAAUGGUGUAUGCUCGAGGGGUCAACCACGAGUAGGACAACAUUACGAACAUCGUUGGUUCUAAUUUGAUUUGAGGAUAUAGCCCACACCCAAAUCAAAGUUUGGACAAGACAAUAGAUCCAAUAACUGAUCACGAGGACCAAUCGAUGAAGAUAUCAUCUUUCUUAAACACACACACUCAAAAGAUAUCCCUCUAGAAUGAACUAAGUAAGGCAAAGCUUUUUAUAUUCCAACUCUCCAAGUUGUUGUUUAGCUUAACCAACUAGCUCAGGGGUAUCCAACACAUAUUCUUGGAGAAGGGGUGGUUUAUAAGAAACCAACUUGAUCACGAUAUCAACAUAGCGGUUAGGUGACAACCUGGUUAUACUUCCGAGAAGACUUACGAAAAAUCACGAACCACCUAUAUGUUAUUAAGCUCGAGAACAAUCUUGCUUUUUAGGGUAAGGCGAUAUGAUCAAAUAAGCAAGGAUUGGCACUAUCCUAACCCAUUGAUCGAAAAGUGCAUCGGAAAUAAGGGCUAGGUAGCACGAUCAAUUUUUAGGGUGAUGAUUCAAUAAUCAACACACUAAGAAUGUGGUUUUUGUCCAUUUAACUACCAAGAAAUGGAGUUGCUAGGAAUAUAGAUUUCACACAUCACGAUUCACUUGUCGGCAUUCUGGUUGCGACAACACGAAACCGAGGAAUGAACAAUGAUGGAGAGAAGUAUCACUAUGUCAAGAAUUCAUAAGAGAAGGUGCAAUUCUCAUGAAAUUCCUGACAUAAAGUGGGUAAUACUUUAGGGUAGAACAGAAUCAAAAGUUGGAUUGGCAUUUUGAUCUGCGAUACACAACUAUUUUGACCCAACCUGGAUAUGGAUGAGGUACUGGAGGUUGUUUCUCCUAGUCAUUAUGAAAUAGAAUGGCUUGAUGGACCACAAGAAUAAUGAGCAUCAAUAACACGGAUGCACAAUUACUCCUGACUAUCAAUUGAUAGACAAUGGUCAGGAUACAACUAAAGAGAACAACUCAAAUGAAUAUGUAAUUUUCUGAGUUGUGGACGCAUAGAUUAGUAUGUCAAACAAGUUCAACAUAUUUCUUCCGGAUAACCCAUGCAGAAGAGGAAGGACUGGCAGGUUACAAUAUAGAAUCGAGAACUCAUCAAGAGCACUCUGGUUGUGAUCUUUUGGUUCAAAAAAAAGAACUUCUAUUGAGGAUGGUUCAUGGUAUUGGAAGAAUGAUAUACCACAGACCUUGAGGACUAUCGCAAAGGUUGCUAAUAUCCUAAAGAAACUAGCAAACACUAUCAACAUGAAGUAAGUAGGGUGAAUCUCUUGUUCAAGAACCCAAGAAUAGAAUGCCUACUAACUAAAUGGCAUCACGGGAUGCUUUCGAGAGUAAUGGCCAGAAUCAUCACACUGGGGAUACAAAGCAUUGCUAGAUUACUGAGUGGUUCUCUAAGACGCCUAUGUUCAUACUAGUGGCUUCAACAUAUACGCCGAGGCAAUGGAGUACCUCAACUCGAUGAUUAUUGUGGUUAAUCUGGACCAAAAGGACAUCGGGAACUGGGAGGAAGGAUUUGCAAAUGCAUCAGAUUCUUUAGAAACCUGGGAUGACUCAGACAACAUAACGGCUGUAAAUGCUCAAAAAGUUUUGAGACAUCCUGCAAAAAUGGUGGCAUAACCAUGGGAUCAUCAUAGUAUCAAGGUUCCGACAUCAACUGUUAAUACACGGAGAUAGUAGGAACUGAACUGAGGCUUGAAUUCACCAAUCUUAUAAGUCUAUGGAUUAGUAACACGUGAUCCUGAUAGGAAGAAGAGAGAGCCUAGUUCCUUAACCCCGUAUGAAGAUAGGAUGACUUGGAUCAGAAGGCCAUAAGGUAUAAGGAGUAAAAAGAGCCUUACGUUCCAUCCCACAAUCAAUUCCCUUACAUAACUAAAGAAUUUCUAGACUCAACUUCGACCAGUUUGGCUUGGUAAUGCUACAUGCAGUCAGACUCUAAUACCAAAGCUGUCAGGACCCCGAUCCUAAGCCACAUCGAUCUAGCAUGUAACACAUCAUAUCGCUUUGCGGCCUCAUGCACGACAUUCCCACGGGUGCCACCUUACCAGGCCCGGGACCGUUUGUGCCUUUUGGCUCACGUAUGUGAUAGUGUCGCUAGCAUCCAUAUGACAGAGAACCCAGGCCCACACGACUAGUCGUGAACCCAAAGUGGCACUAACUUAUAAGGACAGGCAUACAUGACCCAACGAUGAACGUGUUGGUCUUCAGCGGGUGAUUUCGGGCUGUAGCAACUGGGCUAGCAGGACCCCGGGAUUCCGGGCUAUAGCAGGCUAAUAGGACUCAGUGGAAGCACUAGACUACAUUUCCCCAUAAGAGAGGCUACCAAGGAUAAACAACUAGGUUGUCGGAUCCCACACAUACCAGGCAUUUCAAAUCAUACACACAAUAUGCUCGAUAUGUGCAAAUACAACAUGGCAUCACAACAAAACUCUACAAAUCAAAGUAUUUAUUCAUUAGGCUCCGAGGAGGCAAGUAUUAGAAACAUGGGUCUCAUGACCCCACAUACAGAGCAUACAAGCAACAAGCACAUGCGGAAGCUUAACUUGUCUGAGUACAGACAACUACAAAUGAAAAAGGCUCGGGGGCGUCCUUGACGGCGCGAAUCGACAACGAAGAGCUCGGGUGCCCGAGGUUGAAGACGACCGCGAUGACGAUGAAGCAGGACCUCUCGGCAUCCUGUAUCUCAAUUGGAAUGACGAGGAAGUUGCGGUAGUGCUUCUGGACUCGGCGUUAGGGAGAGGGGUGGCCGGUGGCCACGGGAACGACGAUCGGCGUCGACGAGCUCCAUUCGAGAAGAGAGCAUAGGAGGGAUAAAGAGAGAGCCGCGUGGAAGGGAGAGGUCGAGGGAAACCAGGGGACUGCGUGGCAUCCAAAGCAACGUCGGGGAGGCGGCGGGAAGCAGGAGGUGGCCUGGCGCGUGGUCGCGCGUGUGGAGCACGCGCCUCUCGUCCUCCUGGCGAGAGGAGGGUGAUGACUGGCAGUUGGGCUUGAGUGGGUUGCACAAGAGCAGGGCCGACUAUAGUAGCAGGCCGCUAGGUAAGCAGGUGAGUUCUUCCGCUCUGUUUCAAUUGUGUUAUGUUGUCUUUUUAUUUAUUUAUUAUUUGCCACUGUUUGAAAAUCAAAAUGACUUCAACUAGUGCCAAAGAUUCCUCUAAAUAUUUUUAUGUUGCACAUUGGUCAUUUCCAGGUGCACAUAAAAUAUUUCAGGGCUUUUGAAAAUAUAUUCUUAUAUAUUAUGAAUAUAAUUCCAAGUGCAAAUACAAUAAUGAUUUAAAUUUAGUGCCCAAAAUAUUCCUUAGAAAUAUUCCAUAUUUUUGGUUUGGAUCAAAACCAUUGCCAAAUAUAUCAUACAUCAAGGCGGAGCAUUUUGGGUUCAUUGAAUGCAAUUUUUUUAGCUAGACCUAAUUGAAUUUCAAAGUGCUAGAGUUUGAACACCCCUCAUUUCAAGUUUCUUUGGAAUUUAAAUAUGAUGCAUCACUCUAAUGCAAGCACUGACU